GCCUUGGUGGCUUAACGGUUAAAGCGCUACUCUGAAGAAGUAGAUACGUGUGUUCGAUUCACUCCCAGGGCA
rnacentral:tRNA from 1 species